UCAUUUAUUGCACCCCAGUGUUUCCCACAGAAUUGAAUUCUAUUUGCUGUGGUAGGUUUGCAGAAUUAACUCGAAUGCAAUAGUUUUUAGCAAAUUAGUGCAGCGCUGUUAUGAUUUUAAUCAGAUUUAAGCACAAUUUAGUAGAACCCGGAAAUUCAUUGUGUGGUGGUCAAUGUUGAUAUUGUGGUGGGCCGCCACAAAUAAGUCAAUGUAUGGGAAACACUC